AUAGUAUAGCGCCGGGACCAGGGUGAUCACGAAUACCUUGACCACAGUUGGAGGCUCGUCCCUGCACUCUGGCGGGUUGAAGCCUGCCACGAUCCCUAAUUGGGAUCCCUCGGGCGUGCAGUUUUUGACAGCGGAGACGUCCUCGGACGAUCCCUU
rnacentral:snRNA from 13 species